rnacentral:rRNA from 1 species
UACGUAGGUGGCAAGCGUUAUCCGGAUUUAUUGGGCGUAAAGGGGACGCAGGCGGUCUUUUAAGUCUGAUGUGAAAGCCUUCGGCUUAACCGGAGUAGUGCAUUGGAAACUGGGAGACUUGAGUGCAGAAGAGGAGAGUGGAGCUCCAUGUGUAGCGGUGAAAUGCGUAGAUAUAUGGAAGAACACCAGUGGCGAAAGCGGCUCUCUGGUCUGUAACUGACGCUGAGGUUCGAAAGCGUGGGUAGCAAACAGG